rnacentral:rRNA from 1 species
GUAAGGAAUAUUGGGCAAUGGACGAAAGUCUGACCCAGCCAUGCCGCGUGAAGGAUUAAGGUCCUCUGGAUUGUAAACUUCUUUUCUCUGGGGCGAAAACCACCCUUUCUAGGGUAUUUGACAGUACCAGAGGAAUAAGCACCGGCUAACUCCGUGCCAGCAGCCGCGGUAAUACGGAGGGUGCAAGCGUUAUCCGGAUUCACUGGGUUUAAAGGGUGCGUAGGUGGGUCUGUAAGUCAGUGGUGAAAUCCCCGAGCUUAACUUGGGAACUGCCGUUGAUACUAUAGAUCUUGAAUAUCGUGGAGGUAAGCGGAAUAUGUCAUGUAGCGGUGAAAUGCUUAGAUAUGACAUAGAACACCAAUUGCGAAGGCAGCUUACUACACGAUCAUUGACACUGAGGCACGAAAGCGUGGGGAGCAAACAGGAUUAGAUACCCUAGUAGUCC